rnacentral:rRNA from 1 species
AACGAACGCUGGCGGCGUGCUUAAUACAUGCAAGUCGUACGAGAAAGUCCGGCUUCGGUUGGACGAGUAAAGUGGCGAACGGGUGAGUAACACGUGGAUAAUCUGCCCUUAAAUCCGGGAUAAUCCCCCGAAAGGAGGUCUAAUACCGGAUAAUACCCCUAGGCGGCAUCGCUCUGGGGGUCAAAGACGGGGCAACCUGUUGUUUAAGGAUGAGUCCGCGUCCCAUUAGCUUGUUGGUGAGGUAACGGCUCACCAAGGCUGCGAUGGGUAGCCGGCCUGAGAGGGUGAUCGGCCACACUGGGACUGAGAUACGGCCCAGACUCCUACGGGAGGCAG